CCAUCUUACAGUUACAGAAUCACCGAGACAGAGAAAAUACAUCAAUAAUUCUCCUCUACAUUUUUUUUUCCUUUCUUUUUCUUCUCUUUUUCUUUCCAUUAAUUUUGUUCCCCACUCCAUCAACUCCACUACCCUAUGCUCCCCACCAUCUCCACUACCUUUGCUCCCCAUCAACUCCAACACUUCACCCAUUCCUUCCAUUUCGCACCAGCAAUCACAAAGAGAAGGAAGACUUGGCUUAACUACUUUGCCAAGAUUUCAAGCUGCUCCAGUCCAGUAGUACCCCAACACUCGAAGCAAGAGUUUAUUGGGUGAAAAACCGUGCAUGAGGUAAGGCAGCGAAUCUGCCAUAAGCACACUGCUCCGGCAGUGUUUUGCAAGGCGAUUCCAGCCAUCCAAACGGUUCCCAAAAAUUCCCAAAUUAAUUGUGUAUCAUCUUUCAUACAUUUUCUAUAUUUUGGUAAAAUUUUAGAAUAUUUAGAGCUCGCAUGAUUUAUUUAUGAAUUUGUAAACAUCACUGCCCAUCUGGAAUACAUUUUUGGUAAACAAUCUUUGGGAGAUCAUAAGUAAAGUUUCACUCGGUGAAAACCUUUGAAACUUGAAUAUGUCACUCUAGACUCCCGUAUCUUUCUUUUGACAUCGGCCUCACCAUUUUUGAGUAAGGGAAACAACCGGUAUAAAUUCUUGAAAUCUAGUUCUUAUUCCAUGUACCAUCCAGUAGAUUUUACAAACCUACGACUUUGAGGUGGAAAAGGCCGACUUAAAUAUUUGAUUCUCAAGCCUAUCUUUCUACUGAAUAUUCACUGACAUGUUGGGAACUUACUUGUUCAGUUUUAGAAUUUUUGGUGAAGCUUAAAGUGGUUUUUCCGAUUUAUGUUCUGAAUCUGCCAAACUUGAACUCUUUUUGUGCACUGAACUUUAGAUAGUCAUAUCUUCUAAACCAUGAAGGUUCUUAGAGUAAAUCCAACUGGAGAGUGUUAUGAUCUCUCCCUAGUUUCCAGAUUGACCUUUGGGGUUCCCAGUGGAGUUUUGUAAAGGGAGAUAUGAAUUUUUAAAGAAAGCCCACUGACUUGGUUGUAAUCUGGAAAUAUGAAAUUUACAGAUUUUUGCUUGUUAAAUACCCAUCUUUGAGAGGGCAUAUCUUGCUCGUUUGAAUUGUUUUUCAUUCGAUUCAAAUUGGAGAAUGAUCCUUGAAAUGUCUAGUUUCCAGAAUGUCUUUUGGAGCCUCAUUUGGAGAUCCGAGGUAGAUUUGGUGUCUGUUGUAAAACAACCCCUUAAGAGCUCAAGUUGUUGAAUUAUUUUCUAUGUAUCAAAGUUUAUUUUAAAGGAUAUUUCGUGAAAGAUUUAGUAUAUGUGCGUAACAAGUUUGGGACUAUUUAUUUUAAAUGAGGUCCGUUCUUUAUUUAAAUUAGGAUGGACUUUUAAUGAAUAUUUUUGGGAUUAAACUAUUAUUUCUUGAUUUAUAUAAAUUAUUUUUAAGGACUUAUAAAUAUGAAUUUCGUAGGCCUACUGACCUACUGUGAUCGACGGUUUGUCGAUGUCUAACAGCUUUGAAAAUUUUAUAUCAAGUCCCUACAUGAGUCUUGAGUACUCUGGUAAAAUUUCAAGCCAUUCCAACUUCGUAUGAUACUUCUUUAAAAUGUAAAACCUAAACUGCACAUUACUACUGAGAAUUUCAGAGAACAGAGAAAAGAGUCAUUUAUUUCAGUAGCUUCCUGGGUGAUCUAGCUUUCCAAAUUUUUAUGUUAUUAACCUUAUUGUGUUAUUUAGAUAUCCACUAAAGUUGAGCCCAGUUUGACAACGUUUACUAUUUUUCAAAAAUACAAGUUUUCGAUUGUUCAAAACUGCCGAACAUGGUAGAUCGUGGUAAAAACGUCAUAUCUCUCAAACCACUUGGAGUUUUCGACUCUAUUUUUUUUAUAUGAAACUAGACUCGAAGAUCUUUCUUUCGGUAUGAGUCUCGAGUCCAGGAGAUGUCGGAGUCAGAACAGAUUAAAUUUUGAAGUUGAGUCAGUGUAAAAGCAGAGCAUGUUUUGAUGAUGUUUGAUUGUGAUUCUUAUGUGCCUUAUGUUGAGCCUUUUUUAUUUUAUUUUUUUUUUUUUUUAAUUUUAUAACAUUACUUGUUCUUAUUUAUUAAGCCCGAUUAAUUAUGAGAUUAUAAAGCGAAUAAGUUGAAGUAUUUAUUUUCUAUUGACUACGAGGAGCGGGGUUUAUUUAAUUAACGGAUUAGAACACCCCGAAGAGAACGGAUUAAUUUUUGUUAAUUAUCCGGCUUCAUGAGACGAGACUUAGCUUUUGUUUAAAUCCGAUAGCCUGGAUUAACAAUAGAAAUUCCCUGAUUAUUAUCUCAGAAUAAUAGUUCAUGCAUACGAGAUUCAUGCAUAGUUUAAUUACGCAUUCUCAUUUAAUUGAGAAUUUUCCCUCGAUUUAAAGUCUUACGUUAUUUUCUCGGAUUAAAGGUCGAGCGCAAGAAUAAGAGCUCGUCAAGGAGUCACUAAUCUGUAGCAAAGCUUUGCUAUCAGGUUGAGCAGCUGCCGAUGGUGAUGAAGUGACGAGCGGGACUCUUUUGUCUUAUUAUGUAUUAAUGAACUCUAGGGUUACAUGUCUUCAUACAUGUAAUCAGAACCUUAUUCCGCUGCGUACUCAGAAGUUUUAUGUUAUUUUGGAUAAGUCGGAGUUAUCCGAACUUGUUAGUUAUUUGAGUCUAUACGACAAAAACUCUGUUAUAUUAUAGAUAUCUAUGUUGUUAACAAUGAUGAAAUACGAUCCUUUCUUGUUUGAUUA